UAACGAAGGAAGCAUGGUAAUGUGCAUAUAAAUUGAUUUGGGUCUCCAGGCAUGCCUUCUCUGAUUUCAUUUGGCUUUGAUUUAGAGGCAUGGUUCCGCAGCAAAACA